AUUGAACGCUGGCGGCAGGCCUAACACAUGCAAGUCGAACGAGCGGCGGACGGGUGAGUAAUGUCUGGGAAACCGCCUGACGGAGGUGGAUAACUCCUGGAAAAGGUAGCUAAAACCGCAUUCAAUCAGAUGUGCCCAGAGGGGAUUAGCUGGUGGGUGGGGUAACGGCUCACUUAGGCGACGAUCCCUAGCUGGUCUGAGAGGAUGACCGGCCACACUGGGACUGAGACACGGUCCAGACGCCUACGGGAGGCAGCAGUGGGGAAUAUUGGACAAUGGGCGCAAGCCUGAUGCAGCGAUGCCGCGUGUGUGAAGAAGGCCUUCGGGUUGUAAAGCACUUUUAGCGGGGAGGCGUUACCCGCAGAAGAAGCACCGGCUAACUCCGUGCCAGCAGCCGCGGUAAUUC
rnacentral:rRNA from 1 species